rnacentral:lncRNA from 1 species
CUGCCCCACUCUCAUGAUAAUAAUCAGCUGUUAGUGGCAGUCAGUCAUUAUAUUGUGGGAAUGAGAAAGCAGCUGUAAUGUUUAAAUAUCAUGAUUAUAAGUACCACUGUUGUAAACAAUAUUAUGCGCGUCAUUCCUAAAAUUAAAUGCUGCGUUUAUAUGGGUCAUGCCUUUAGCAGUACUUCUCUCCAAGACAGAAGGUCUCUCUUCCCCAAGAAUUAACAUCCUCCUUCCAGCUGUGUUCUGCUUUCAAAAGAGAUGUGAAACCAUUCUAGAACUUGAGAUGUGAGUGAUUCCAAGGAGAAGAAGAAACUAGAAACUGCCUCUGCUGUGAUCAUUACAAAUGACUUGUGAAUGAAUACUGUGGGAUUCUUAACCCCUAUAUGACUUCAGCUGUUGUUCAAGCAUUAAUUCUACCAGUGCACUGAUUACUUUAUUCACAGUUUGCAGAGAGCUUAUUGAAGCCGGAAGUUUAAGUGAUUUAGUCAAGGCAGUACAUUUGACCAUGCCAGAGCUUGCAUUACAUCCCAGGAGUUCCUGAUUCUUACACUUAGACUCUUAUAAUACUGGGAAAAAGGACUACUAUAUUUAUAUGAUUUCAGCCAAUGAAGACUAAUCAGUUUUUCUAGCAAUAGAAAGUCUCCUUCAUCCUCCUUCCCUUUCCAAACUCCAAAGCAGUGCCAUGAAUACUGGGGCCCAGAGCUAAUGAAUGAAUAUUAAAGCUCUUCUAAGUGAGCGAGCAGAGCCGAUUAAUGAGGCAGCCCUUGUCUUUUAGUAAUUUCAUCUGACAGAGGUGACUUAGCAUUAAGAUAUCCCUAAAUAUCUCAGGGCCAUAUUAUCUGCUCUCACAAUCCUAAGUUUUGUGAUUACCAAUGAACUCAGUAUCUGCAAUCCUUACUCAAUAUAAGUUGUGAGGUGAAAAUGUGGUCACUGGUGUUCCUCUGACUUUGUUUAGCACUACACCCAGGGCUUUUUACUGCUGAGACUACCUUUGUCCCAUUCUUGCCUUUGGGUCCAAGGAGAAUCCAACUGGCAGUAUUUGUUUCCUGGCUGUUUGACUUGGAGAUACUGUUGAGAUUACUGAAACAUGAGUUUGUGCUACUGCAAUAUGUAAUAGAGUUGAAGUUAUUGUCAUAAAUGUAGCAUAUCGUAGCCUCAUGUGUUGCUACUGAUGAGAUUAAAUUGGUACUUUGGAAUUAGAUGCUAGCGCUUGGAAAUACUG